UACGUAGGGUGCAAGCGUUGUCCGGAAUUAUUGGGCGUAAAGAGCUCGUAGGCGGUCUGUCGCGUCGGCUGUGAAAUCCCGAGGCUCAACCUCGGGUCUGCAGUCGAUACGGGCAAACUAGAGUAUUGCAGGGGAGACUGGAAUUCCUGGUGUAGCGGUGAAAUGCGCAGAUAUCAGGAGGAACACCGAUGGCGAAGGCAGGUCUCUGGGCUGAAACUGACGCUCAAGCACGAAAGCGUGGGGAGCAAACAGG
rnacentral:rRNA from 1 species